rnacentral:rRNA from 1 species
GAUGAACGCUGGCGGCGUGCCUAAUACAUGCAAGUCGAGCGAACAGACGAGGAGCUUGCUCCUCUGACGUUAGCUGCGGACGGGUGAGUAACACGUGGAUAACCUACCUAUAAGACUGGGAUAACUUCGGGAAACCGGAGCUAAUACCGGAUAAUAUAUUGAACCGCAUGGUUCAAUAGUGAAAGACGGUUUUGCUGUCACUUAUAGAUGGAUCCGCGCCGCAUUAGCUAGUUGGUAAGGUAACGGCUUACCAAGGCGACGAUGCGUAGCCGACCUGAGAGGGUGAUCGGCCACACUGGAACUGAGACACGGUCCAGACUCCUACGGGAGGCAGCAGUAGGGAAUCUUCCGCAAUGGGCGAAAGCCUGACGGAGCAACGCCGCGUGAGUGAUGAAGGUCUUCGGAUCGUAAAACUCUGUUAUUAGGGAAGAACAAAUGUGUAAGUAACUAUGCACGUCUUGACGGUACCUAAUCAGAAAGCCACGGCUAACUACGUG